CCUACGGGAGGCAGCAGUGGGGGAUAUUGCACAAUGGGGGGAACCCUGAUGCAGCGACGCCGCGUGGGUGAAGAAGCGCCUCGGCGCUUAAAGCCCUGUCAGCAGGGAAGAAAAUGACGGUACCUGAAGAAGAAGCCCCGGCUAACUACGUGCCAACAGCCGCGGGACUACGUAGGGGGCAAGCGUUAUCCGGAUUGACUGGGUGUAAAGGGGGCGCAGACGGCGAUGCAAGCCAGGAGUGAAAGCCCGGGGCCCAACCCCGGGACUGCUCUUGGAACUGCGUGGCUAGAGUGCAGGAGGGGCAGGCGGAAUGCCUGGUGUAGCGGUGAAAUGCGUAGAGAUCAGGAGGAACACCGGUGGCGAAGGCGGCCUGCUGGACUGCAACUGACGUUGAGGCCCGAAAGCGUGGGGAGCAAACAGGAUUAGAUACCCCAAUAGUC
rnacentral:rRNA from 1 species